GUCGGCUAUGGUGACGUUUAUCCAAAAACGCCUAUUGGAAAAUUGAUUGGCGCCGCCUGCUGCAUCUGUGGAGUCCUUGUGGUGGCCCUUCCCAUCCCUAUCAUCGUCAACAAC
rfam:Schistocephalus solidus strain NST_G2 genome assembly, scaffold: SSLN_scaffold0000150